GAUGAACGCUAGCUACAGGCUUAACACAUGCAAGUCGAGGGGCAGCAUGAACAUAGCUUGCUAUGUUUGAUGGCGACCGGCGCACGGGGGCGUAACACGUAUCCAAUCUACCCAUGGCUCGGGGAUAGCCUUUCGAAAGAAAGAUUAAUACCCGAUGGUCUCGGUUUAAGGCAUCUUAGACUGAGUAAAGAUUUAUCGGCGAUGGAUGGGGAUGCGUCUGAUUAGGUAGAUGGCGGGGUAACGGCCCACCAUGCCUACGAUCAGUAGGGGUUCUGAGAGGAAGGUCCCCCACAUUGGAACUGAGACACGGUCCAAACUCCUACGGGAGGCAGCAGUGAGGAAUAUUGGUCAAUGGACGAGAGUCUGAACCAGCCAAGUAGCGUGAAGGAUGACUGCCCUAUGGGUUGUAAACUUCUUUUGUUUGGGAAUAAAGUUCGGGACGUGUCCCGUUUUGUAUGUACCAUUCGAAUAAGCAUCGGCUAAUUCCGUGCCAGCAGCCGCGGUAAGAC
rnacentral:rRNA from 1 species